UGCGGCUCAUUUGAGGACGGAAUACGGCGAAAUAAAGUGUUUAAUCUUACUUAUAAAAUGUGUUUUGUAUUAUCAUAUCGUUUUAUAACGACAUUUAUUUGCUGUGUGCACAUAAACUUUUCUCAAGGACAUUUCCUUUCACUCACGAUGCGGAACAGACGAGGACGUCAUUUAUUUUCUAUAUAGGAAAUCUAAAAAAGAGAUAUUUUCUUCCACUCACGAUGGGGAGAAUAUGGGGAAUCUGUUUUUUAUCAAAGGAAAACACCAUAAAUUUUAAUCGCUGUGCAGUGCAGACCAUGGUGCAGACGCGGUUAGUUAGAGAAGGGAGAGAGCAGAAAGAGAUAUUGUCUUUCACUCGCGAAGGAAAACACAGAAAACAGAGCCCUGCCUCAGCACAGUGAGAUCAGCAUGGAAUUCAGGAAUCACAACCUAUUUUCCAAAGCACUUUUGUGAUGCUGCAAGUGGAUGCUCUGCUUAGUUGAAAACUGCAGAGAACCACGUCUUGUCCUGAAAAAAAGAAAGAGACUACUUUCUCCAAGGAGGUCCAAACGCCACUGGCACAGACUGCGUUCAGCGAUUAAUCGAAAUCGUAAUAAAAUCAAGAUUUGAGCGUGCACGAUUUCUAAAUCGCUUUAUAGCACGAUUUUCCGCGGGCCCGACCUCCCGCAGUAUGCUAUCCAAUCCAAUCAGAAUGCAGCGCACCUAAGUGGAGCGAGAGAACAGAACAGACUGGACAUAUGCCUAACUCCAGGUUCACACACUCUGUCUUUGAUGCAUAUUUUUUCCGCGCCCAUGUUAAUGGAUCAGAGUGUUCACACUGCACAUGGUAAAAGAUGUGAACAGAAAAGGUUAGAAAUAGAAAGGUGCGAAAAGAAUGAAUAUCUAGCGCAUGAGCAUAGAGAGAGUUGUGAGUGAGUGAGUGAGUGAGUGAGAGGAGACGUUUUAAUUGCGCGGACGACAGCAGCGUGUAUCUGAGCAUCGCGUCUGGUUUUGUGACAAAGCAAAGGCGAGCGGAGAGAUUCGCGCAUUAUUUUAAUGUGCUUUCACGUUACAAUAACUCGCUCUCGCUGCUGCUUCUGCACCGCAUACACAUACUGUAUACGCACUGCAGAUGGAGUACGUGUAAACCUGUAUAAUGUAUAACAAAUCUAUUUCAACACCUGAGGCACCGCUACAAUGAGCUCUAUGACCAAUGCAUGGCAAAAAAAAAAAAAGCCCUGGACACAGGUUUUUUUUUUCUUUUUUUUUUUGCCAUAUGUCUAGACAUUUUGUUUGACAUCUUUACUUAGUGAUUAUUUUGACUUAUGUCUGUUCUAGAGGCAUGUUACA
ensembl:lncRNA